CUCAACAAAACCUAAAGGCGUAAUGAAAGUAAAGGUCCGCCUCGCGCGGACCGAGGGAAGAUGGGCGGCCAAAGGGCCGCCCCGCACUCCCGGGGCGUCUCGUUCUCAUUGCGAGAAGAGGCGCACCUAGAGCGUACACGCUGGGACCCGAAAGAUGGUGAACUAUGCCUGGUCAGGACGAAGUCAGGGGAAACCCUGAUGGAGGUCCGUAGCGAUUCUGACGUGCAAAUCGAUCGUCGGAACUGGGUAUAGGGGCGAAAGACUAAUCGAACCAUCUAGUAGCUGGUUCCUUCCGA
rnacentral:rRNA from 1 species